rnacentral:misc_RNA from 1 species
CGCCUUUGAUGUGCACAUGUCGCUUAAAAUCCAUAUGCUACACAGUCACUUUGACUUUCACGAGCAACAGCUUUCAACAGAAACCGACGAGGUAGGAGAGAGAUUUCACCAAUCCAUUAUGUGUGUUGAGGACCGAUUCGCUGGAAAACGAUUGAGUUCAAUGGUGGCGGACUUUUGCUGGUCGAUCGCAGGAGGCAAAGGACAUAAAAAAAAUUAUUCGAGCAAUAGAAACUAGCAAAAUAUGCCAAAACGGGGUUGAAGAGAUCCCAAAUUUAGGGUGGAAUCGAGAAUGUGGAAAUCGCUCGCACCUAUUAUUCGCAAGCUCUCAAAUUAAAUCCAAAUAACUUGCGGGCACUAUAUGGGCUAUAUCUUUGUUGCAGUUACAUAGCCAAUUCCCGCGCCGUGGUAUCAAAACGUAGGGAAGCCCAAAAAAUGGCGCAAUGGGCAUUGGAGAAUGCCACAAUGCGAACCACAAAAUCAUCGAAAAUUUCUAGCAACGAUAAACUAAUCUCGGUUUUAGAAAGCGCCCUGGGAGGCUUAGAUAUUAAGUCAAAUUGACAUAGUUCUGAAACAUUGUUAGUAAAUUUGUAAUUUUGCGCGACUAGAUGAUAAUAUAAAACAUCCAUUAACUAAAUUUUUACCGUUUGCAUUAUAUGGACAUCUUAUUUAUAAGUUUUAUGGAAAAGUGCCUUGUUCCUGAACAAAUAAAUACAACAAAGAUACAUGCUACGCGAUUUCGCAAACCAGAUCAACAUGAAUAUUUCAAAAAUGCCUGCCGAGACACCUACAUCGGAUUUAGGCUUCGGCGACAAGGUGA